rnacentral:pre_miRNA from 1 species
UUUUGAUUGUUGCUCAGAAAGCCGGUGUUUGAAUUCGGCGCUUGAGCUGCAAUCAAACAG